CCCGCCACUAUGCCAGUCUUCUGUGUCUUGGUGUAGUCCAGUGGUGAGCUUAUAGCAACCUCCUCUUAGGAAACAGGGCUGCUCUGCGUGUGGACCGCCCUGUGCCGAAAGAUGGAGAACACGU